rnacentral:rRNA from 1 species
CAGCCGCCGCGGUAAUACAGAGGGUGCGAGCUUUAAUCGGAUUUACUGGGCGUAAAGCGUGCGUAGGCGGCUUCUUAAGUCGGAUGUGAAAUCCCUGAGCUUAACUUAGGAAUUGCAUUCGAUACUGGGAAGCUAGAGUAUGGGAGAGGAUGGUAGAAUUCCAGGUGUAGCGGUGAAAUGCGUAGAGAUCUGGAGGAAUACCGAUGGCGAAGGCAGCCAUCUGGCCUAAUACUGACGCUGAGGUACGAAAGCAUGGGGAGCAAACAGGAUUAGAUACCCCCGUAGUCCCUGUCUCUUAUAC